rnacentral:misc_RNA from 1 species
GAUGAAGAACGUAGCGAAACGCGAUAAGUAAUGUGAAUUGCAGAAUUCAGUGAAUCAUCGAAUCUUUGAACGCACAUUGCGCCCCUUGGUAUUCCGAGGGGCAUGCCUGUUCGAGCGUCAUUAUAACCCUCAAGCUCAGCUUGGUGUUGGGGCCUGCUGCACUGGCAGCCCUUAAAAUCAGUGGCGGCGCCAUCUGGCUCUAAGCGUAGUAAUUCUUCUCGCUAUGGAGUCCUGGUGGAUGCUUGCCAUCAACCCCCAAUUUUUCUAUGGUUGACCUCGGAUCAGGUAGGGAUACCCGCUGAACUUAAGCAUAUCAAUAAGCGGAGGA